UGGUGCGAUCAUACCAGCACUAAUGCACCGGAUCCCAUCAGAACUCCGAAGUUAAACGUGCUUGGGCGAGAGUAGUACUAAGAUGGGUGACCUCUUGGGAAGUCCUCGUGUUGCACCCC
rnacentral:rRNA from 1 species